AGACCCGAAACCCGGUGAUCUAGCCAUGGGCAGGUUGAAGGUUGGGUAACACUAACUGGAGGACCGAACCGACUAAUGUUGAAAAAUUAGCGGAUGACCUGUGGCUGGGGGUGAAAGGCCAAUCAAACCGGGAGAUAGCUGGUUCUCCCCGAAAGCUAUUUAGGUAGCGCCUCGUGAAUUCAUCUCCGGGGGUAGAGCACUGUUUCGGCUAGGGGGCCAUCCCGGCUUACCAACCCGAUGCAAACUGCGAAUACCGGAGAAUGUUAUCACGGGAGACACACGGCGGGUGCUAACGUCCGUCGUGAAGAGGGAAACAACCCAGACCGCCAGCUAAGGUCCCAAAGUCAUAGUUAAGUGGGAAACGAUGUGGGAAGGCCCAGACAGCCAGGAUGUUGGCUUAGAAGCAGCCAUCAUUUAAAGAAAGCGUAAUAGCUCACUGGUCGAGUCGGCCUGCGCGGAAGAUGUAACGGGGCUAAACUAUGCACCGAAGCUGCGGCAGCGACACUAUGUGUUGUUGGGUAGGGGAGCGUUCUGUAAGCCUGUGAAGGUGUGUCGUGAGGCAUGCUGGAGGUAUCAGAAGUGCGAAUGCUGACAUAAGUAACGAUAAAGCGGGUGAAAAGCCCGCUCGCCGGAAGACCAAGGGUUCCUGUCCAACGUUAAUCGGGGCAGGGUGAGUCGACCCCUAAGGCGAGGCCGAAAGGCGUAGUCGAUGGGAAACGGGUUAAUAUUCCCGUACUUGGUGUUACUGCGAAGGGGGGACGGAGAAGGCUAUG
rnacentral:rRNA from 1 species